rnacentral:lncRNA from 1 species
GUUGUCAGCUCCAAGCACAGUUAGAGCUUCAUCUUUCUUAGACAUGCUUGUCCUGAAAACGGUCACCUAGAGUCCGAAGGCCUUGCCGAAUUUCACAGCCAUGUGACCAAGACCGCCGAGGCCGAUGACCCCUAGGGAUUUACCAGGUUUGUUCAUCUUAUGGUCCGUCAUGGGAGAGUAAACAGUAAUGCCAGCACAAAGCAGUGGUGCUGCUGAAGCCAAGGGGUAGUCCUCUGGUAUUUUGAAGCAGUACCUAUAGUUUCGUGACAAAAUAAGAUUACUAAACACAGUUGCUUCAUCGACUGGAAAUGUAGAUCGACUUGGCUAGCAAAUAGUAAUACUUACCUUUCAUGGACAACAGUGAAAGUGGAAAAACCUCCAUGGGUGAUGGUGCCGUCGUAAUCUAACCGAUUGUAAGUUAACACUACUCCUUUAUCACAGUAAACCUCUAGGCCAUCGUUACAAUACUCACAAUCUAUACAUGAGUUGGUAUACGUCCCAACUCCAACAUGGUCUCCAACUUUGAAGCGAUGAACAUUUGGACCAACCUCUUGCACAAUAAUGCCAGCAAUCUCAUGUCUGUUGUUAAUUUGAAGUUCAAUAUAUCGAUUAAUAUACCAGAUAAGAGCUCAAUUAAACCACUUGGAACAUUUACUUGGCAAUUUUUGAUACAAACUUACCCAGGCGCGCACCAUAGGAUAGGUCAUUGCAUCUCCACGUUUGUUCCUUGGCCACACGACCUUAGCAUAACAAACUUCGCAAUGUGUAAUCUUUCUCAAAACAUCGUCAGCUUAAAUAUUUCUGAUGAAAAAAUAAAAAAAAUAAAAAUUCAAUCUUAGCUAGCUAGCCAAUUAAUGUAUUAUCAAUCGAGCGAGCAAUGCAGUUUGAAUGUGUUUAGACAAAAUGUUUCGUGUGAAAAUGCCUACUAGAACAAGCAUUCUAGCACAUUUUCACACCAAUAUGCAUGGAGUAGUCCUGUCGCACAUUUGGUGAACAUAUUUGGCGAAUUGGCGAGAUUGAUGGAGAUUUGAGGAUGCCUUCGGUUAAUUCGUAAGGCGAUAGGACACCGGAAGCAUCCGUUGCAGCCCAUCCCAAGCAUUUGCCAUUUGCCUUUGCCAUGCUACUUAUGGAAAAUGGAUAGCUGAAAGUUGAAACUAAUAGCCCACUAGUGAACAUGGAUUCAAACACAAAAUAAGCCUCAUGAAAACUAGUGUAACGACCAGGCCCUAAACAAGCCUACCAUAAUACAUACUAAUAUUGAAGACUUCUAAUUGUACAUGUGAGAUCCCACAUCGUCCGAAAAAGGGGAGGUGAUGUGCCUUAUUGGUGUGCAAACAAACCUCCCCAAUUUCGAGUUGAUCGAUUCCUUCCGCUCGGAGAAAAUACAUUAUUAGCUUUUUUUUAUAUAUAAGUUGGUGGAAGUAGACAACGGAAAGUCAUGUGCAAUGUGAUGGGGUUUAAAUAGAAGAAGAGACAAAAUGCAUGUGUUGGUGGAUCGAUUGACUUAAAAUUAGGGCUGCCACUCGGUCGGUUCGAAUCGGUAAUGGGCGUUACCAACUUCAAAACCAAAGCUUUCGGUAAUGAAAUAUGACUUUCAAUUACCAAAUCAAAAACUUCGGUAUGAGAUAAAUCUUACCAACUUCGGAUGUCGGUUUUUCGGUAUUACCAAACUUCACAACAAAUAUAUUUUCAAAAUAUAACAAAACAAUACAAAACUAUAAAAUUUAAAUAUCACUUGAUUUUGUAGAGUCUGAUAAUAUAUAUACAAAACCGAGGGUUAUUGCUGUCGGAAAUGUUUCAUUAUUACCGACGGUAUCGUUGUUCCCCUCGUAAAUAAUUAUACCAUUUUCCGUCGACUUAAAGUGUCGUCAAAAACUAAAAUACGCGCCAACAUUUCCCGCCACUCUGUUGUUUGAUCGAGGAAGUGCAAGCAGGGUUGAACACUUUGAUUCAGAUCCAAACAUUAUCGAGUAUGGUUUAAUUUUCUACCGAAAUAGUCAGGAUGUAAAUGUUUCCAAAUUUUUAUAUGAACAAGUUAUGUGUCAUCUAUGUGAAAGUAUGUGUGUGGAAGAGUCAACCAAAAUAAGUCACAUAAGGGCAGUAAAAGCUUUUUUGUGUAAUAAGUGACGUUAAAUUAUGGUUGACCGCUUUGAUCAAGACCCGAGCAUUAUUGAGUACAAUUGAAUUUUCUAUCAUAAUUGUAUUAUACUAUAAUGAUCACAUUAGACGGUCGAAUUUUAAUUUUGUGAAUUGUAAUCAUUGGAACCACAACAUGCCUGGUAAUGUGGUAUAACUUAUUUAGUAAGUUAUAUGCAUAUAUACAUCUUUGUGAACCAACUACAAAGAGGAAGCAAAAUUUUCAAAACCUUGUGAACUAUGAUGUGAUCAAUAUAAUGAAAUACGACUAUGGUAGAAAAAUUAGGUAUUUUUGAUAAUGUUUGGCCUUGAUCAAAGCGGCUAACCCUAUUUACGCUUGUGCUUCCUAUGGGGAGCCCUAUCAUCAAGAGAGGUAAAAACAUUCCUAAAUUUUUACAUGGGCGGUUACAUGUCAUCUAAGUGGGUUUGUCUAUGUGUGUGUGUGAUGAAUCGACUAAGACGGGUAGGUAAGAGCGUUUUUAUAUAACAAGUAACAUUGAAUUAAAGUUGAUCGCUUUAAUUGAGACCCGAAUGCUACCAAGUAUAGUUGAAUUUUAAUAUUCAUUGUCUUGUUUUUUACUAAAUGGUAUAUACAAUUGAAAACGUGAGAUAAGAUUAUUAGUCUGUGUGUUUUUAGAAAUACAAGUCUUUAAAUAAUUAGAAUUUCGGUAAAUUCGGUAUUUACUAAAAACCAAACCAACUUUUUCGAUAUUUCUCGGUUUUGGUUUUUUUGAUUUCGAUUACCAAAAUUCGGUUUACCAAAUCAUAAAUUUUCAGUCGGUUUUCGAUCAGUUUGGUAUUCACCAAACCAAGUGGCAGCCCUACUUAAAAUGCAUGGAAAUAAAUCUAUCAGAAGAGAGGGCGCUGAGAAUGACUAGAGAUUUCUUUUACUUUUCGUUGGACUGUAUACAAUUACAAAACAGGGUUUUCAUCACUUGAUAUGAGUUAUUAUACAACUAUUCUAAGUUAGAAAGAGCUGAGUCAAAUAUUUGCAGUUGUGUAUCUAAAUCUAUUUUUCUUCAGCAUUUAUAAACCUGUAUAUAAAUUUGCACUAUUUUUGGGUACGUCUUCUUCUUCACUUCCACUAGUAUCAUAAUCAAGCUUUUGUUCUUCUUUGCUUCCAAAAUUUGAAGGAAGUGUAUGCAACAAGGUUUUAGUCAUCAGGUUUCUUGUCCUAAAAAAAUGCAAACAACUGUAGCAAUGUUUCCAUGAAAACUAGCAUAAUAUAUAUAAACAGCCAGGCCGGAUGUAGAGCGCACGUGCGCACUGGUUUAAAGUGUGCACGUUCCUCCGUUUGCCAUCGUCCGGCGCCGAUGACGGCGUGCCUCCACCUCAGCGGACUCCAGCAGCGUCCCCGAUCACUUUCCCUCCCCGGUGAGUUCGCCGAAUUCCAGUUUCUAGCGAGAUCGACUUUAUUUGAAGUUUCAGGUGAUCUCGCUGGAAAAUUGGAAAAAAAGAGACUCGCCGGGGAGGGAAAGUGGUCGGGGACGCUGCUGGAGUCUUCUGGGGUGGAGGUGCGCCGUCGUCGGCACUAGACGAUGACGAACGGAGGGACGUGCGCACUUUAAAGAGAGUGCGCACGUGCGCUCUCUAUCGUUUUCGUAUAAACAGCUAAAUGUGCAUAACUUACAGAAGAGCAGUAUUUUCAACUACUUCAGUUUGUUAUGCUCCAUAGAGUUACCAUUUUUCAUCACAAGAUGUUAAUGGAUCCCAAAUUCCCACAUCUGCACCAUACAAAUCUUUUAGUAUCCAUGCUCACAAGACUGAAACUCCACAUUACACAAAAUUUGAAGUUAAUAUAUAUAUAUAUAUAUAUACAUAUAUAUAUAUAUACAAUUUUAAUUACAAAAUUGAUUAAUUACAGUGAUCAAUUCAUACCUGAAAUCAUCCAAGCUGGCUAACUCGCCUGCAGAAACAAUCAAAUCAAGCUGGUACUGCUCGAAGGGUCUCAGAUCUUUGUCCAAUAUUCUUCUUGCCUAUAUAUAUAUAGUUCCUAUCCAGAGCGAAUUAAAGUGUGAAUGUCCUUUUUUGGCUCACUUUUCGGUCACGUAUCCACAUCUCCGCCGUUCAGUUUUUAGAACCUAAUGUAUAGAUCACUUAUGCCAAGUUUCAUCCAAUUUGACGAUCGUUUGGGCUUUCGCAAUCGUGAUUUACAUGAACAUUUCUGGUUAGACAGAUUUUUGUCUGUUCAUGCAUUUCACACAAUUCAACACCUUAAUGAUUAUUAAAUUAGAUGAAACUNNNNNNNNNNNNNNNNNNNNGGCGAGGGCGCGCCUCCACCCUAGCGGACUCCAGCAGCUUCCCUGACCUCUUUUCAUCUCCGGCGAGUCCGCCGAAUUCCAGUUUUCCGGCCAGAUUACCCAAAACUUCAAACAAAGUCAAUCUGGCCAGAAAACUGGAAUUCGGCAGACUCACCGGGGAUGGAAAGAGGUUGGGGAAGCUGCUGGAGUCCGCUGGGGUGGAGACACGCCCUCGCCGGCGCCGUACGGUGGCGAACGGAGAGAAAUCCGCACCGUAAGGCGGUGCGAACGUCCGUAAGGCCGUGCGAACAUCCGUAUCAAAAACGAACGUAUAUAUAUAUAUAUAUAUAGAUUAAUUAAAGUUUAUGUACUUAUUUUAUUGAAAUAUUACACUGAUCAAUCCAUACCUGAAAUCAUCAAACCUUGCUAACUCGCUUGUAGAAAUAAUCAGAUCAGGCUGGUACUGGUCGAAGGGUCUUACAUCUUCGUCCAAUAUUCUUCUUGCCUCUAUAUAUGUGUGUGUAUAAAGAUAUUAAUUGGGGUUUAUAUGCUUAUUUGAUUUAAAUAUUCAUUAUUAAGAAACUAAAAACACAAAAACACAAUUAUCUAUUCCAAAAACACAAAAUUAGCCCACAAUACAUUGGUUAAUUUUGGUCAAGAUUAGGAUAUGCUCUAUCAAAUCUGGCUGGUAUGACUAUCCUCAACCAAAUCUGGCCAGUAUGACUAUUCUCGACCAGAUUUGACUAGGUUGGGAAUCGACCAGAUUUGCAUGUGUUUUCAUGUCGAAGUUAUGCAAUGACAGCCAAAUGGUUGAAGGCCUAACUGCAUGUGCUUUGAGAAAAUUAUGGGUUUCUUAGUGCUAAAUGCUCACCCCUAAAUCACUAAUUUCAUUUUCUAAAGUAGUUUUGAAUAAUAAAGAUGAACCACCAUAAAUAAAAUCACUGAAAUCAAACACCAAUAUAGAUGAAUUUGAACUAUAAUACUUCGAACUGUAAUUUAACAUCAAUGUAGAGUGUUUGAUUUUACCUUAUUUUUUUAUGUCUGGAAUCCAGUAGGUGGCUGGAUUACGAAGAUUGAUAUUAUAAGCAUCGAGAACACAGAUUUAGGAAUGCCGAGAAAACAGACAUGUCUAUGAGAUAGAAACGAAGCAAGAAAUUGUAAGAUCUUAGUUGGUUUGAGAAUGCGGCAGAGAGACAUCAUUAUAUAGUGAAAAAAAAAAUAGAGAUUUAGGGUUAGAAGGGUACAGAGGUAUUUAUAUGUAGCAACGUAUCAAAAUAUUGUGGUAAUUGUUGCCUUCAGGCAAUUUUGUAUAAGUUGAGUCAAAUUAUCAAAACGUAUCGUUUUAUGAAAUUUAUAAUGGAUUGAACGCCUAUAAUAACUAGAAAAUUUGGAUACUCAAUCUUAAUUCGAUCUUUUGAAAGAUUUUCUACCUUAAUAUGUUUAUCAGGAAGAAGAAACGUUGGCUUCCCAAUUUAUCACUAGUGCUACACAGUGUUAGCUGUAGGGGAAAUAGUGGCAUCAAAUCAUCUAAAACAAGCCGGCAUUAUUGAGAAAACAACUUUGCAUUCCCAAUUUAUCACAAGUACUACACAAAUCAAUUGCAAUGGUAUUUAACAACAAUUGCUCCAAAAAGACACACCUAAAGCUUUCCAAAGAUUAAAACAACAAUCACUCGAUAAAGCAUUGGUACUUAACAUGGGAUGGAAUCGGUUCUGUACCCCGUUUUGUUAUGAAAGUUUCUACUAAACUAGACUAGAAAGUACACAAACAAGUAUUCUAUUGCAGAGAUGAUAUUGAAGAUAAUGCAUGCUAUCACAAUUCUAUAUGCUGCCAAUCUGAGAAUGGAUCGAGGAUGCUAUACUGGACCAACCUAUUUCUUCUUUGCACUUUGGACCGCGUCUUCCUUCAUCUAAUCAUCUUCACCAACUCAACAAAACGUUGUUGAGAGGUAUGAAUAGAAUUGCCGAUCGAAUCUAAAAUUUUAGAUAAAAUUAAGCUUGUUCUUUUUAGAAGCAAAACAAUCUAAUCAAACGAUACAUUCUCUUACCAAUUCCAGCAAACCUCUCCCUGCAGCGCCGUGGAUUGCCAAACGUGACCUAUGUGUAAGUGUGAGUCGUCUGUUUCUGAUUUAUAAAAUCUUUAUACAUAUGAAGCUUGGUGAUCUUUUUGUUUUUAAGAACCAGAAGUGUGACGUUGGUGCAGAUCAGUCAGUGUUUUGGUCAGUGGAACCAACCACCAAAUUGAUACCCUAAUUUCAAAUCAAGACCGGAAAGCAAUGAGAACUCGCAUUAUUUUGAUUUAAUCCUUCAAAGUUCCAGCCACUCAUAUCAGUGAGGCAGCCACUUAUUCAUAUCAAAAAGAAGAAAAAACUUAAAGAACACCAAAUCCCUAUUACAUCAAGUUUAAAGACUUCAUAUUUAUAUGCUCAUUUAUAUGCUCAUAUAUUGUUGCAAUAAUCUUCAUUUCAGGGAGUUUCCAAUGUCUACCACAAAGCGGUACUUGACAUCCUUCUUUAUGAGCCUCUCAAUAGCUUCAUUCACAUUCUGAAUUGGAACAACUUCUAUGUUUGGAUAUAUCUGGUGAGCAGAACAGAAGUUUAACAUUUCUUGAAUCUGUUUUGUACCACCUGCUACGCUACCGGUAAUUGAUCUCUUACCUGAUCACAAAAUUACAAAGAUACCUCAACUUCAUGAAUGAAACACUCAUGUAAAACUUAAAAUGAAAAGUUAUAUAUAUGAGAAUUGCUUAUGUAAAAUGAACUACUACAAUAAGUACCUAUAAGAAGGCUCAUAGGGCUCAAUUUGAUUUCAUUUGGGGCACCCACAAGGACUAGAACACCAGCAGUCUUCAGUAGUGACAUGUACAAGUCGAACGGGUGAUCACCAGAUGCUGUGUCAACGAUGAAGUCAAGUGACUUAGCCAGCGCCUACAUUCGAAAAAAACCGAUUUUAAGUCUUGAAAUUGUCAUGGUUCAGCGUUGGAGUUUAUGUUGUUGUCAAAUGCAUGAUUCUACUACCUUCAUCUGGUCUUGGUCAGACGAGACCACGAAGUUGUCAGCUCCAAGCACAGUUAGAGCUUCAUCUUUCUUAGACAUGCUUGUGCUGAAAACGGUCACCUUGAGUUUGAAGGCCUUGCCGAAUUUCAUAGCCAUGUGACCAAGACCACCGAGGCCGAUGACCCCUAGGGAUUUACCAGGUUUGUUCAUCUUAUGGUCCAUCAUGGGAGAGUAAACAGUAAUGCCAGCACAAAGCAGUGGUGCUGCUGAAGCCAAGGGGUAGUCCUCUGGUAUUUUGAAGCAGUACCUAUAGUUUCGUGACAAAAUAAGAUUACUAAACACAGUUGCUUCAUCGACUGGAAAUGUAGAUCGACUUGGCUAGCAAAUAGUAAUACUUACCUUUCAUGGACAACAGUGAACGUGGAAAAACCUCCAUGGGUGAUGGUGCCGUCGUAAUCAAACCGAUUGUAAGUUAACACUACUCCUUUAUCACAGUAAACCUCUAGGCCAUCGUUACAAUACUCACAAUCUCUACAUGAGUUGGUAUAAGUUAUAAGAAUGAAUAAUUGAUAGAAUGGAAUAGAUAGUCUGUUAUUGAUUCUGAAUCGUAUACAUAUACAGAGACUUCUAGCUAUUCCUACAAGUCAGGAAUCAACUACAAUUAAGGAUAUCUAUUUACAAUAGGAAAGAUAUGGAUAUCUGAUGUACAGCUAAUAUAUGCAGAUCUUCUAUUCUAAAUAGGAAAGAUAUGGAAGAUUGAUUCUCUAACACUCCCCCUCAAGAUGGAGAGUGGAUAUCCUGCACUCCCAACUUGCGAAUCAUAGGAACAAAGAUUUCCUUCCCUAAGGGCUUUGUUAAUACAUCUGCCAGCUGAUGUGUAGAACUCACAUAUCUUGUAGUCACAGAGCCAUCUUGAAUCUUAUCUCUAAUGUAAUGACAAUCCAUCUCAAUGUGCCUAGUACGUUCAUGAAAAACAGGGUUAGCUGCAAUAUGUAAGGCAGCCCUGUUGUCACAAUACAAUAAAGCAGAUUCAUGAUGUGGAAGUCCCAAGUCCCUUAACAAAGAUCGAAGCCAUGACAACUCACAACAAGCUCCUGUCAUGGAGCGAUAUUCUGCCUCAGCAGAUGAAAGAGAAACUGUUUUCUGCCGCUUCGAUCUCCAGAAAUCAAUGAAGGUCCGAGAAAGACACUAUAACCAGUAGUAGACCUUCUAGUAAGUGGACAACCUGCCCAAUCAGNNNNNNNNNNNNNNNNNNNNAAAGCUUCAUUUUGGUACAUGAUUCAAUUUAAUUACUCUAAUAUUUUUUUUAAUAAACGUAUUAACCAAGUAACGCGAUGCAUACCAUAACCGAUCACCAUCGAUAAAGAAAAAGCUUUCUAAAUCACUACCUAUUUAAUUGUCGUUUUAAGACAAUUUUGUAUAAGUUGAGUAAAAUUAUCAAAACGUAUCGUUUUAUGAAGUUUAUAAUAGAUUGAACGCCUAUAAUAAUUAGAAAUAUUUGGAAGAAGAAACGUUGCAUUCCCAAUUUAUGACUAGUGCUGCACAGUGUUAGCAGAAUAGCAGUAGGGGAAAUAGUGACAUCAAAUCAUCUAAGACAAGCCGGUAUUAUUGAGAAAACAGACUUUGCAUUCCCAAUUUAUCACAAGUACUACACAAACCAAUUGCAAUGGUAUUUAACAACAAUUGCUUUAAAAAGACACACCUAAGACUUUCCAAAGAUUAAAACAACAGUCACUCGAUAAAGCAUUGGUACUUAACAGGGGAUGGAAUCGGUUCUGUACCCCGUUUUGUUAUGAAAGUUUCUAAACUAGACUAGAAAGUACACAAACAAGUUUCUAUUACAGAGAUGAUAUCGAAGAUAAUGUGCCAUUACAAUUCUAUAUGCUGCCAAUCUGAGAAUGGUUCGAGGAUGCUAUUUCUUCUUCGCACUUUGGAUCGCGUCUUCCUUCAUCUACACCAACUCAACAAAAUGUUGUUGAGAGGUAUGAAUAGAAUUGCCAAAUCUAAAAUUUUAGACAAAAUUAAGCUUAUUCUUUUUAGAAGCAAAACAAUCUCCUCAAACGAUACAUUCUCUUACAUUCCAGCAAACCUCUUCCUGCAGCGCCGUGGAUUGCCAAACGUGACCUAUGUGUAAGUGUGAGUCGUCUGUUUCUGAUUUAUAACUAGUGCUAAUUUUUGUUCAUAUGAAGCUUGGUGAUCUUUUUGUUUUUAAGGAAGAACCAGAAGUGUGACGUUGGUGCAGAUCAGUCAGUGUUUUGGUCAGUGGAACCAACCACCAAAUUGAUACCCUAAUUUCAAAUCAAGACCGGAAAGAAAUGCAUCUCAUUCACAUUAUUUUGAUUUAAUCCUUCAAAGUUCCAGCCACUUAUUCAUAUAAAAAAGAAGAAAAAACUUAAAGAACACCAAAUCCCUAUUACAUCAAGUUUAAAGACUUCAUAUUUAUAUGCUCAUAUAUUGUUGCAAUGAUCUUCAUUUCAGGGAGUUUCCAAUGUCUACCACAAAGCGGUACUUGACAUCCUUCUUUAUGAGCCUCUCAAUAGCUUCAUUCACAUACUGAAUUGGAACAACUUCUAUGUUUGGAUAUAUCUUGUGAGCAGCACAGAAGUUUAACAUUUCUUGAAUCUGUUUCGUACCACCUGAUGCGCUACCGGUAAUUGAUCUCUUACCUGAUCACAAAAUUACAAAGAUACCUCAACUUCAUGAAUGAAACAGUUAUGUAAAACUUAAAAUGACAAGUAAUAUAUAUGAGAAUUGCUCAUGUAAAAUGAACUACUACAAUAAGUACCUAUAAGAAGGCUCAUAGGGUUCAAUUUGAUUUCACUUGGGGCACCCACAAGGACUAGAACACCAGCAGUCUUCAGUACUGACAUGUACAAGUCGAACGGGUGAUGACCAGAUGCUGUGUCAACGAUGAAGUCAAGUGACUUAGCCAGUGCCUGCAUUCGAACAAAAAAAAAAGCCGAUUUUAAGUCUUGAAAUUGUCAUGGUUCAGCGUUGGAGUUUAUGUUGUUGUCAAAUGCAUGAUUCUACUACCUUCAUCUGGUCUUGGUCAGACGAGACCACGAAGCUGUCAGCUCCAAGAACAGUUAGAGCUUCAUCUUUCUUAGACAUGCUUGUGCUGAAAACGGUCACCUUGAGUCCGAAGGCUUUGCCGAAUUUCACAGCCAUGUGACCAAGACCACCGAGGCCGAUGACCCCUAGGGAUUUACCAGGUUUGUUCAUCUUAUGGUCCAUCAUGGGAGAGUAAACAGUAAUGCCAGCACAAAGCAGUGGUGCUGCUGAAGCCAAGGGGUAGUCCUCUGGUAUUUUGAAGCAGUACCUAUAGUUUCGUGACAAAAUAAGAUUACUAAACACAGUUGC